rnacentral:rRNA from 1 species
UACGGAGGGAGCUAGCGUUGUUCGGAAUUACUGGGCGUAAAGCGCACGUAGGCGGCUUUUUAAGUCAGGGGUGAAAUCCUGGAGCUCAACUCCAGAACUGCCUUUGAUACUGAGGAGCUUGAGUCCGGGAGAGGUGAGUGGAGCUGCGAGUGUAGAGGUGAAAUUCGUAGAUAUUGGGAAGAACACCUGUGUCGAAGGCGGCUCACUGGCUCGUAACUGACGCUCAGGCGCGACAGCGUGGGGAUCAAACAGG